AGAGUUUGAUCCUGGCUCAGAUUGAACGCUGGCGGCAGGCCUAACACAUGCAAGUCGAACGGUAACAGGAAGAAGCUUGCUUCUUUGCUGACGAGUGGCGGACGGGUGAGUAAUGUCUGGGAAACUGCCUGAUGGAGGGGGAUAACUACUGGAAACGGUAGCUAAUACCGCAUAACGUCGCAAGACCAAAGAGGGGGACCUUCGGGCCUCUUGCCAUCGGAUGUGCCCAGAUGGGAUUGUUUUGUUGGUGGGGUAACGGCUCACCAAGGCGACGAUCCCUAGCUGGUCUGAGAGGAUGACCAGCCACACUGGAACUGAGACACGGUCCAGACUCCUACGGGAGGCAGCAGUGGGGAAUAUUGCACAAUGGGCGCAAGCCUGAUGCAGCCAUGCCGCGUGUAUGAAGAAGGCCUUCGGGUUGUAAAGUACUUUCAGCGGGGAGGAAGGGAGUAAAGUUAAUACCUUUACUCAUUGACGUUACCCGCAGAAUAAGCAUCGGCUAACUCCGUGCCAGCAGCCGCGGUAAUACGGAGGAUGCGAGCGUUAUCCGGAUUCAUUGGGUUUAAAGGGUGCGUAGGCUGUGCGUUAAGUCAGGGGUGAAAUGCCGGUGCUCAACACUGGACCUGCCGGUGAUACUGGCGCGCUGGAGUGCGGAUGCCGUUGGAGGAAUGAGUGGUGUAGCGGUGAAAUGCUUAGAUAUCACUCAGAACACCGAUUGCGAAGGCAUCUGACGAAUCCGUAACUGACGCUGAGGCACGAAAGCGUGGGGAGCAGGAGAGGAAAGUGGAAUUCCUGGUGUAGCGGUGAAAUGCGUAGAAAUCAGGAGGAACACCGGUGGCGAAGGCGACUUUCUGGACUGACCUGACGCUGAGGUGCGAAAGCGUGGGUAGCAAUGAUGAUUAGAUACCCUGGUAGUCCACGCUGUAAACGAUGGAUACUAGGUGUGGGAGGUAUCGACCCCUUCCGUGCCGCAGCUAACGCAAUAAGUAUCCCGCCUGGGGAGUACGGUCGCAAGGCUGAAACUCAAAGGGAUUGACGGGGGCCCGCACAAGCGGAGGAACAUGCGGUUUAAUUCGAUGAUACGCGAGGAACCUUACCCGGGCUUGAAUUGCUAACGACGGUUACUGGAGACAGUUACCUCCAGAGAUGGUGACGCCCUUCGGGGCACCAGUCGAGGUGCUGCAUGGUUGUCGUCAGCUCGUGCCGUGAGGUGUCGGCUCAAGUGCCAUAACGAGCGCAACCCUUGUCACUAGUUACCAGCGGGCUAUGCCGGGGACUCUAGUGAGACUGCCACCGCAAGGUGUGAGGAGGGGGGGGAUGACGUCAAAUCAGCACGGCCCUUACGUCCGGGGCGACACACGUGUUACAAUGGCGGCCACAGAGGGAUGCACCUGGCGACAGGAUGCGGAUCUCGAAAAGCCGUCCCAGUUCGGACUGGAGUCUGCAACCCGACUCCACGAAGUUGGAUUCGCUAGUAAUCGCGCAUCAGCCAUGGCGCGGUGAAUACGUUCCCGGGCCCGUCAAGCCAUGAAAGCCGGGGGCGCCUGAAGUCCGUAACCGCGAGGAUCGGCCUAGGGCGAACCUGGUAAUUGGGGCU
rnacentral:rRNA from 1 species